AUUGCCCCAGUAACGGCGAGUGAAGCGGCAACAGCUCAAAUUUGAAAUCUGGCUUCGGCCCGAGUUGUAAUUUGUAGAGGAUGCUUUUGGUGAGGUGCCUUCUGAGUUCCCUGGAACGGGACGCCACAGAGGGUGAGAGCCCCGUAUAGUUGGACACCGAGCCUCUGUAAAGCUCCUUCGACGAGUCGAGUAGUUUGGGAAUGCUGCUCAAAAUGGGAGGUAUAUCUCUUCUAAAGCUAAAUACUGGCCAGAGACCGAUAGCGCACAAGUAGAGUGAUCGAAAGAUGAAAAGCACUUUGAAAAGAGGGUUAAAUAGUACGUGAAAUUGUUGAAAGGGAAGCGCUUGUGACCAGACUUGUGCCGGGCUGAUCAUCCAGUGUUCUCACUGGUGCACUCUGCCCGGCUCAGGCCAGCGUCGGUUCUCGCAGGGGGAUAAAAGCGGCGGGAACGUGGCUCCUCCGGGAGUGUUAUAGCCCGCCGCUCAAUACCCUUGCGGGGACCGAGGUUCGCGCUCCGGCAUGGACGCUGGCAUAAUGGUCAUCAGCGGCCCGUCUUGAAACACGGACCAAGGAGUCGAGGUUUUGCGCGAGUGUUUGGGUGUCAAACCCGCACGCGUAAUGAAAGUGAACGUAGGUGAGAGCUUCGGCGCAUCAUCGACCGAUCCUGAUGUAUUCGGAUGGAUUUGAGUAAGAGCGUUAAGCCUCGGACCCGAAAGAUGGUGAACUAUGCCUGAAUAGGGUGAAGCCAGAGGAAACUCUGGUGGAGGCUCGCAGCGGUUCUGACGUGCAAAUCGAUCGUCAAAUUUGGGCAUGGGGGCGAAAGACUAAUCGAACCAUCUAGUAGCUGGUUACCGCCGAA
rnacentral:rRNA from 1 species